rnacentral:rRNA from 1 species
AGUAGUAAUAGUUAUGUUCUUGAAACUUAAAAAAUUUGGCGGUAUUUUAGUCUAUUCAGAGGAACCUGUCCUAUAAUCGAUAAUCCACGUUGGACCUUACUUAAAUUGGUUAAUCAGUUUGUAUACCGUCGUUAUAAGAAUAUUUUAUUAGAAUAAUAAUUUUCUAUAAUUUUUAUAAAAAUUUAUAUCAGAUCAAGGUGCAGCUUAUGUUUAAGUAGAGAUGGGUUACAAUAAAAUAAUUUAUAUGAAUAAAUAUUUGAAAUAGUAUUUUGAAGGUGGAUUUGAAUGUAAAAUUAUAAAGAUUAAUAAUUUGAUUUUAGCUCUAAAAUAUGUACAUAUCGCCCGUCACUCUUAUUAUUAAGGUAAGAUAAGUCGUAACAUAGUAGAUGUACUGGAAAGUGUAUCUAGAAUGCAAUUUAAAGCUUAAAUAGUAAAGCAUUUCAUUUACAUUGAAAAGAUUUUUGUGCAAAUCAAUAUAAGUUGAUUAAUUUUUAUUUAUUAAUUUAUUUAUUUAUUUUUAGUUUAUUUUAGAAAUAACUGUUUAAUAAAAUGUUUUAGUAUUUUAUAAAGAAUAAAUAAUAUUUAUAAUAGUAUAUUAGUAUUGUGAAAGAAAAUUGAAAUAAUUUGAAAAAUUUUU